rnacentral:rRNA from 1 species
AUACGGGGGAUGCAAGCGUUAUUCGGAAUCAUUGGGCGUAAAGGGCACGCAGGCGGUUCUGUCAGUCAGAUGUGAAAGCCCGGGGCUUAACCCCGGACGUGCAUUUGAAACAGCAGGACUUGAGUAUGGUAGAGGAAAGCGGAAUUUCUGGUGUAGAGGUGAAAUUCGUAGAUAUCAGGAGGAACACCGGUGGCGAAGGCGGCUUUCUGGACCAAAACUGACGCUGAGGUGCGAAGGCGUGGGUAGCGAACAGGAUUAGAAACCCCGGUAGUCC